rnacentral:rRNA from 1 species
AGAUACCCCGGUAGUCCUAGCUGUAAAGGAUGCGGGCCAGGUGUCUGGUGUUCCUCGAGAGCACCAUGUGCCGGAGGGAAGCCGUUAAGCCCGCCGCCUGGGAAGUACGGCCGCAAGGCUGAAACUUAAAGAAAUUGGCGGGGGAGCACUACAAGGGGUGGGACCUGCGGUUCAAUCGGAUUCAACGCCGAAAAACUCACCAGGGGCGACAGUUGUUUGAAGGCCAGGUUGACGACCUUGCCAGACUAUUGAGAGGUGGUGCAUGGCCAUCGUCAGCUCGUACCGUGAGGCGUCCUGUCAAGUCAGGCAACGAGCGAGAUCCUCGCCUUAGUUGCUAACAGUGGAAAGCUGAGCACACUAGGGGGACCGCUGGCGCUAAGUCAGAGGAAGGAGAGGGCGACGGUAGGUCCGUAUGCCCCGAAUCCCCUGGGCCACACGCGGGUCACAAUGCGUAGGACAAUGGGUUGCAACUCCGUAAGGGGAAGCCAAUCCCUAAACUACGCUCGGUUCGGAUCGAGGGCUGCAACUCGCCCUCGUGAAGCUGGAAUCCUAGUAAUCGCGCGCCAACACCGCGCGGU